GACGAACGCUGGCGGCGCGCUUAACACAUGCAAGUCGAACGGAAAGGCCUGCUUUCCCUUGUGGAUUGCGGGUACUCGAGUGGCGAACGGGUGAGUAACACGUGAGUGAUCUGCCCCCAACUUGGGUAUAAGCCUGGGAAACUGGGUCUAAUCCCCGAUAGGACUGCAGGGUGGUGCCUGUGGUGGAAAACGAUUUUCUAGUGGUUGGGGAUGAGCUCGCGGCCUAUCAGCUUGUUGGUGGGGUAAUGGCCUACCAAGGCGGCGACGGGUAGCCGGCCUGAGAGGGUGGACGGCCAGAUUGGGACUGGGAGACGGCCCAGACGGCUACGGGAGGCAGCAGUGGGGAAUAGUGCACAAGGGGCGGAAGCCUGAUGCAGCGACGCCGCGUGGGGGAUGACGGCCUUCGGGUUGUAAACUCCUUUCGACCGCGAGGAAGCCACCUGGUUGGAAGGGUGGUGACGGUAGUGGUAGAAGAAGCACCGGCUAACUACGUG
rnacentral:rRNA from 1 species